rnacentral:rRNA from 1 species
UGAUUGACUAGUACGGCGAGUGAGCGGCAACAGCUCAAAUUUGAAAGCUAGCCUUCGGGUUCGCAUUGUAAUUUGUAGAGGAUGAUUUGGGGAAGCCGCCUGUCUAAGUUCCUUGGAACAGGACGUCAUAGAGGGUGAGAAUCCCGUAUGUGACAGGAAAUGGCACCCUAUGUAAAUCUCCUUCGACGAGUCGAGUUGUUUGGGAAUGCAGCUCUAAAUGGGAGGUAAAUUUCUUCUAAAGCUAAAUAUUGGCGAGAGACCGAUAGCGCACAAGUAGAGUGAUCGAAAGAUGAAAAGCACUUUGGAAAGAGAGUUAAAAAGCACGUGAAAUUGUUGAAAGGGAAGCGCUUGCAAUCAGACUUGUUUAAACUGUUCGGCCGGUCUUCUGACCGGUUUACUCAGUUUGGACAGGCCAGCAUCAGUUUCGGCGGCCGGAUAAAGGCUCUGGGAAUGUGGCCUCCACUUCGGUGGAGGUGUUAUAGCCCAGGGUGUAAUACGGCCAGCCGGGACUGAGGUCCGCGCUUCGGCUAGGAUGCUGGCGUAAUGGUUGUAAGCGACCCGUCUUGAACCACGGGACCCAAA